UACGUAGGUGGCGAGCGUUAUCCGGAUUCACUGGGUUUAAAGGGUGCGUAGGCGGGCAGGUAAGUCAGUGGUGAAAUCUUCGGGCUCAACUCGAAGUCUGCACAGGAAACUAUCUGGCUUGAGUGUGGGAGAGGUGAGUGGAAUUCCUGGUGUAGCGGUGAAAUGCGUAGAUAUCAGGAGGAACACCUGUGGCGAAAGCGGCUCACUGGACCACAACUGACGCUGAGGCGCGAAAGCUAGGGGAGCAAACAGG
rnacentral:rRNA from 1 species